CCUACGGGGCGCAGCAGUAGGGAAUCUUCCACAAUGGGCGAAAGCCUGAUGGAGCAACGCCGCGAGGGUGAAGAAGGUCUUCGGAUCGUAAAACCCUGUUGUUAGAGAAGAAAUUGCGUGAGAGUAACUGUUCACGUUUCGACGGUACCUGACUAAGAAGCCCCGGCUAACUACGUGCCAGCAGCCGCGGUAAUACGUAGGGGGCAAGCGUUAUCCGGAUUUACUGGGUGUAAAGGGAGCGGAGACGGCAAGGAAAGCCAGAAGUGAAAGGGCAGGGCUAAACCCUGUACAUGCUUGUGAACGUGUGGUGCUAGAGUGCAGGAGAGGUAAGUGGAAUUCCUAGUGUAGCGGUGAAAUGCGUAGAUAUUAGGAGGAACACCAGUGGCGAAGGCGGCUUACUGGACUGUAACUGACGUUGAGGCUCGAAAGCGUGGGGAGCAAACAGGAUUAGAUACCCGGGUAGUC
rnacentral:rRNA from 1 species